AGAAAAUGAGCCUGCAUGAAUAAAUCGAGCAGAUGUGUCACUUUCUAUUGUGCAGAUAGAAUAAGUAGCUGAGUUUUAUGCAAGUACUAUCGAAUUACGAACUGCACAAUGCCAAAAUACUCUUGCAGAAGCUGGCGGGCUCCCUUGAGCCUGUUCUGAAGGUUAUACUGAAUUUGUGCCUUGUAAAACUUUCUUGAUGGAAUUACAGCAUUUAAGGCAAUAGAAAAGCCUAAAGUCUGAUCUGUUUCUGGAAAUUUGCAGGGUCCUGUCCCCUUCAGCUGCCUUCUGGACAUCGCUGCCUCUCUGGUAGAACAGCAGAACAAAUGUUAACUACUGCAGCUGCUCUCUGUAAAUAGCUCACUUUCUGUAGUGGCUCACCCACCUUCUGGCUGACCAGAAAAGCAAUCUGAUAACGGUUAUAAUGCCAUCCUCAAAGCCAUCCUUCAAAUGUGUGGAGUGGGAGAAGUGAAUGGUAUGCAACAGACAGGGGACAGGGACAGCACUCCAGCCCCUUCACACUGAGGCAGAGCUUUUCUGAUGGACUCGAGUCUGCAUUUGCAUGCCUCACUUUCUCAUAGUUCAGCUUUGUUUCAUGACUUGUUUGUACAACAAAGACCUUCCAGUGAUAGUACCCAAGAACCUUCACAGUUUCAUCUUGUUUAAAGUCUAAGGGAAACCUCUACCAUUAUUAAGAGAGAUGGUUCUUCGAGUAGAAAAUGGAAAUGUUUUGCCAGGUUAUUGUAAGAUUUCUUUUCAUUAUAAGGAGCCUGACUUCACAAGUGCUGAAAAGCCCACAUCCCCAGGACUUCAGUGAAGUCUUGAGCUGUUCACUUUCUUCAGGGGCACAGACAGCCUUCCCAGAAGGUCUCUUCACCAGAGAAGGAAGAUAGGAUUUUCAGUUGCCUGUAACUAUUUGUUCAAGAUAUUGCUUGAGAUGUUCUUACCUGUCAAUAGCCACCUGGUAGAAUAAUAUCAUGAAUAAUGAACUACAACCAACAACUUUUGCAUUUUUUGGUCAGUACAUGAGAAGUCUCCAAAAUAGGAAGUGUUCCUUGUCUUCUGUGGAACCCAGCUUCUGCUUGGCUCAUCACCUACAACCUUAAAUCACUGCUGCCUUUUUGUUGAAGACCUUUAGAAACAGCAUGUGCAAAACACCUGUAGAUAGUCAGGAGAUGAAUAAGAGACAAUUACUUCAUUUAAAUCAGGAAAGUCAAAAAGCAUUUGCAGUCAUUACUCACAUGGUACAGAGCUCAAUAUUCAGCAUCUUGGUACUGUGGACAAGUGAACUGAUACAAGUUUGAGUGUGCUUUGAGGAAAUCUAGAGGUUAUUAUUUUUAAGUAAUAAUAAUAGUAAUAAUAAAAAUCUCCCUGAUGUGGAAAUUGAGACAUCAAGAAAAAAACAAUCCACAUAUUUGAGAUCAGUAAGCCUCAGCAAAUGCCUUGAGGCUGUUUGGUGCCUAUCACACGAGGCUGGAAAGGUGCUGUUGAUGGCAAAGUUUGCCAGCUUCAGGCAAACUCAGCUGGUGGUGGCCCUGAUUCUCAGUGAAGCCCACCAGUUUGCCAACAUCAGGGAUCCAGACAGCAAAGCUCAGCGAGAUAUUUCAGUCACAACAACUGGGAUUGCAGCAAGGGUUUUUCUCUUGCUGGUAGGGUCCAACCACCACUAUAUGUGCUAUUCCAAAGCUGUUCCAUUAAAUUAACCUAGAAUGUGUCCAGCUAAAAAAAAAAAAAAAAAAAAAUGGUGCAAAAGUAACAAAGGGGAGGUAAAUUAAGAUUUCAGAGAAUGACAAAGGUUUGAUCUAUUUGAACUGCAGCUGUUGGCAUGUGUUGUCAUCCACUGGUGAGGCUGCACCUCCUGUACUAUGUUCAGUUUUGGGCCUCUCACUACAAGAAAGACGUUGAAGCCUUGGAGUGUGUCCAGAGAAGGGUAAUGAUGCUGUGAAGGGUCUGCAACACAAGCCUUUUGGGGAGCAGCUGAGGGAGCAGUGUGGAGAAGGGGAGCUCAGGGGUGACGUUAUUGCUUUCUACAGCUCCUGGAAAGGAGGUCAUAGUGAGGUGGUGGUCAUCUACUCCUCUCAGGUAACGGUGAUAAGAAGAGAGGUAAUGCCUUUAUGUUGUUCCAGGGGAAGUUCAGGUUAGAUGUUAGGAAAAAUUUCUUCUCAGAAGUAGUAAAGCCUGGGAACAGGCUGUGCAGAGAGGUGAUGGAGUCACUGUCCCUGAAGGUGUUCAAGAAAUGUGGUGAUGCAGUGCUGAGGGCCAUGGUUUUGUGGGCAGUACUGGUGGUAAGUGGACGACUGGACUUGAUGAUCUUAAAGGUCUUUUAGAACCUUAGCAGUUCAAUGAUUCUAUCCAGUACUGCAAUACGUUUGUGCUGUUUCGAUGCACCUAGACUUAAAAGGCAUCUGUUGGGCACCAAAUAUUGGGAAGCCAUUAGGAGUCACAUGCUCACUGCUCUAGGGACCCUGCUUCUGCCUCCGUGAAGUUGGCGUAUUGUGCAGAUGGAAACCAGCCCUGUUUCUUGAGGUGUAUCUGGCAAGCUGCUGAUUGCUCUCUCACCCGCGCAAGCUGUGACCCUUUCCAGCUGUUCUUAAUCUGGUCCCUUAACCUUUAAUAAAAAAACACCCCACAAACAUAACACACCAGCUUUCCGUUCCUCAGAGCCAAACUUUGCUAACAACAUCUAGGUUGUUUUCAAACCUGGCUUCAAACAUAAAAGUGACUAAUAAAUCUA